rnacentral:rRNA from 1 species
UGGGGAAUAUUGGACAAUGGGCGCAAGCCUGAUCCAGCCAUGCCGCGUGAGUGAUGAAGGCCCUAGGGUUGUAAAGCUCUUUUGGCGGGGAAGAUAAUGACGGUACCCGCAGAAUAAGCCCCGGCUAACUUCGUGCCAGCAGCCGCGGUAAUACGAAGGGGGCUAGCGUUGCUCGGAAUCACUGGGCGUAAAGCGCACGUAGGCGGAUUCUUAAGUCAGAGGUGAAAGCCUGGAGCUCAACUCCAGAACUGCCUUUGAUACUGGGAGUCUCGAGUUCGGGAGAGGUGAGUGGAACUGCGAGUGUAGAGGUGAAAUUCGUAGAUAUUCGCAAGAACACCAGUGGCGAAGGCGGCUCACUGGCCCGAUACUGACGCUGAGGUGCGAAAGCGUGGGGAGCAAACA